GCCCCCUUUCAUAAUUUUCCAUGGUGAGUUAAAUCAUUAUCUAUUUUUUUACAUAAAAAAAUCCCUUAGAAAGUUGCACAAAAGAAAGAGAAUAAAAGAGAUAGCGUGUGGAGUGAUUUGGAUAAGAUCAAACUCUCUUGAUAAGGAAUGUUUUGAAACUCAAUUUCAAAACCUUCCUUUUAUCAAAAUCAAAUCAGAUUUGGACAUGAGAUAGAGAGGGAGAAGAAUUCUUUGGC
rnacentral:lncRNA from 1 species